AUUCGUUAUACGUUAUUUUUAUUUUAUUUUAUAUUUAUGUAUAAUGUUCUUGUGCAAAAGUGAGUGUAAAAGAAUGCGAAGACAACAGUUCAUUAUUUUCAUGUUGAAUUCCGACACAGUCGUACAGAGCCACUUUUCGCGAGAAGUAAAUCUAUUAGCGUUUUAGGUGAUAUCGGAUUGAAUUUAUUAGUUUUCCGUAAAUAGAUGUAGGUUUGGCAACGUUGGCAGUUAGAUAAAUAGUUCGUCAGAUUACGUGGACCGGUAACACCCGAAACUUUUGAAGGAGUGGCGAGUUGUCGUUAAAAAAGGCGGAGUUUCAAGCUCAGGGAAGCCAUUAAAUUAUCAUCUACCCAACGACAUACGGACACAAAACCUACUGGAGAUUUUUUACGUCACACAAUCAAUAUACGAGAGAACAUAUUCUAUCACUGUCAUUAGUGAGAUUUCUUAAUAAUUCCGAGUUUUAUUGCCAAAUUUAGUUGAUAAAACUUGUCGGAAAUGGGGUGUAAACACAUUGAUAUGCUAUCGAAUAUAUUUAAUAAAAUUAUUUUACAAAAAUUAAAAUACUAAACUGAC